rnacentral:rRNA from 1 species
GGGGAAUAUUGGACAAUGGGCGCAAGCCUGAUCCAGCCAUGCCGCGUGAGUGAUGAAGGCCCUAGGGUUGUAAAGCUCUUUCACCGGUGAAGAUAAUGACGGUAACCGGAGAAGAAGCCCCGGCUAACUUCGUGCCAGCAGCCGCGGUAAUACGAAGGGGGCUAGCGUUGUUCGGAAUUACUGGGCGUAAAGCGCACGUAGGCGGAUAUUUAAGUCAGGGGUGAAAUCCCAGAGCUCAACUCUGGAACUGCCUUGGAUACUGGGUAUCUCGAGUAUGGAAGAGGUGAGUGGAAUUCCGAGUGUAGAGGUGAAAUUCGUAGAUAUUCGGAGGAACACCAGUGGCGAAGGCGGCUCACUGGUCCAUGACUGACGCUGAGGUGCGAAAGCGUGGGGAGCAAAC